CCUACGGGUGGCAGCAGUGGGGAAUAUUGGGCAAUGGGCGCAAGCCUGACCCAGCAACGCCGCGUGAAGGAAGAAGGCCCUCGGGUCGUAAACUUCUUUUAUCAAGGACGAAACAAAUGACGGUACUUGAUGAAUAAGCCACGGCUAACUACGUGCCAGCAGCCGCGGUAAUACGUAGGUGGCAAGCGUUAUCCGGAUUUACUGGGUGUAAAGGGCGUGUAGGCGGGACUGCAAGUCAGAUGUGAAAACCAUGGGCUCAACCGAUGGACUGCAUUUGAAACUGUCGUUCUUGAGUGUUGGAGAGGCGAGGGGAAUUCCGGGUGUAGGAGUGAAAUGCGUAGAUAUCCGGAGGAACACCAGUGGCGAAGGCGACCUGCUGGCACAUAACUGACGCUGAGGAGCGAAAGCGUGGGGAGCAAACAGGAUUAGAUACCCCUGUAGUC
rnacentral:rRNA from 1 species